GUUAUUGUAGCUUACCAUCAAAGCAUGGCACUGAAGUUGCCAAGAUGGGUGACUAACACACCCCAAAAACA
rnacentral:tRNA from 1 species